AAGUACCGUUCGAAUAGGGCGGUACCUUGACGGUACCUAACCAGAAAGCCACGGCUAACUACGUGCCAGCAGCCGCGGUAAUACGUAGGUGGCAAGCGUUGUCCGGAAUUAUUGGGCGUAAAGGGCUCGCAGGCGGUUUCUUAAGUCUGAUGUGAAAGCCCCCGGCUCAACCGGGGAGGGUCAUUGGAAACUGGGGAACUUGAGUGCAGAAGAGGAGAGUGGAAUUCCACGUGUAGCGGUGAAAUGCGUAGAGAUGUGGAGGAACACCAGUGGCGAAGGCGACUCUCUGGUCUGUAACUGACGCUGAGGAGCGAAAGCGUGGGGAGCGAACAGGAUUAGAUACCCUGGUAGUCCACGCCGUAAACGAUGAGUGCUAAGUGUUAGGGGGUUUCCGCCCCUUAGUGCUGCAGCUAACGCAUUAAGCACUCCGCCUGGGGAGUACGGUCGCAAGACUGAAACUCAAAGGAAUUGACGGGGGCCCGCACAAGCGGUGGAGCAUGUGGUUUAAUUCGAAGCAACGCGAAGAACCUUACCAGGUCUUGACAUCCUCUGACAAUCCUAGAGAUAGGACGUCCCCUUCGGGGGCAGAGUGACAGGUGGUGCAUGGUUGUCGUCAGCUCGUGUCGUGAGAUGUUGGGUUAAGUCCCCCAACGAGCGCAACCCUUGAUCUUAGUUGCCAGCAUUCAGUUGGGCACUCUAAGGUGACUGCCGGUGACAAACCGGAAGAAAGGGGGG
rnacentral:rRNA from 2 species